rnacentral:rRNA from 1 species
AGCUCCAAUAGCGUAUAUUAAAGUUGUUGCAGUUAAAAAGCUCGUAGUUGAAUUUCUGGCCGGUCUUGUUCACGGCUGUUGUCGGCUCAAGGCCUGGUCAUCCGUAGGGGAAUCGUAUGCGGUCUUCAGUGGUCGGUGCGUGGAACCUACAUUUUACUGUGAAAAAAUUAGAGUGCUCCAGGCAGGCAAUCGCUUGGAUACUCCAGCAUGGAAUAAUGGAAUAGGACUCUGUUACUAUUCGUUGGUUUGAGUACAGAGUAAUGAUUAAUAGGGACAGUUGGGGGCAUUCGUAUUUAAUUGUCAGAGGUGAAAUUCUUGGAUUUAUUAAAGACGAACUUAUGCGAAAGCAUUUGCCAAGGAUGUUUUCA